rnacentral:tRNA from 1 species
GCCGCCGUAGCUCAGCCCGGUAGAGCGCUGGCCUCGUAAGCCAGUGGUCGCGGGUUCGAAUCCCGCCGGCGGCUCCA